UACAGAGGGUGCAAGCGUUAAUCGGAAUUAUUGGGCGUAAAGGGCUUGUAGGCGGUUAUAUAAGUUAGAUGUGAAAACCCUGGGCUUAACCUAGGACGUGCAUAUAAUACUGUAUAGCUAGAGUAUGGUAGAGGAAAGGGGAAUUCCUGGUGUAGUGGUGAAAUACGUAGAUAUCAGGAGGAAUACCGGUGGCGAAGGCGGCUCUCUGGACCAAUAUUGACGCUGAGAAACGAAAGUGCGGGGAUCAAACAGG
rnacentral:rRNA from 1 species